GCUCUUUCCAAAUAUUUAUGACUCAUUUCACUACUAAACUCUCGCCGUGAAACCGAAAGGAAGGAGAAUUGAAAUAGUCCGAUUGAUUCAAACCAUCUUCGCUUUUAUAAAAUUAAAGUUUGGAAUUUAAAACCGACACAUUUCCUGGAAUUAGUUCGGGCCUUCCAGACAUAUCACGAAAUUAAUAUAAAAUCACCGCAGAAGAAAGAUAGAUCGUUUGUACUUCGAAAUUACUGGAACUAUCCUUUAUGAUGCUGCCUGACCUACUGAGUGUUUCCAGUAUUUUCUGCUUCUGUUGAAUAUGGACGUGCACUGGAGAGUGGAGAGUUUCAAAAAGAGACAGGUUCCGCAGGAAGGCGCAGGCAGCCGUACCCGCAAUAGACCUCGAACCAGACAUUCUCACAAGAAGCGGAGGCGGCGCCAACACCAGCCUUCCCCUUUUAUGACCGGGGACGAAUUGAAGCCGAUAUGGAUCAAAGGCUUUGGCAGAAUUUGGAGAUUGGGAAGGUUUUCUUCCGAUCUAAUUUAAUCCGACGCCUUUUUAGGAAUAGCGACGAAUGGUGUCAACCCUUAAGUAACCCAACUACACUUAUGUUUUAUGGUGUGGAUGAUUACUUUUACUCCACGAAGAAGGCCGAAAUGAUUUCUGCUAGGACUUCAUUUUUCAUUUUAGAUUAGUUAAGUCCAAAUAGAUUGAAGCCAGGAAAAGCAGCACAGUCCAUUAGAAAAGCACUAAAUCACUGGACAAAUAUCCCAGCUAUGUGCUGAAAUGCUGCGAGGGAGGACGAAAGGCGUGAUUAAACUGGGUGGGCUUCUUGUUUAUGAUUUUGGGAAGGCAACGUUUUAGUCUGGGUUAAAUUAAAGAGAAAUAUAAGGGAAUACAAGAAAUAAAGUUGCACAUGUCUCGCUCUUUGGUGUCACUAAACACUGAACACUUCCCCUUGAUUAACUACCAAGGUUAUUUAUUCUUUUCCAAGAUCUCCGCUUUCAAAUGACAGCUAAAACCCUAAAUAAUAACAGCCGCCUGACUGAGAGACCAGUAUUGAUGUUUCACUAAA